rnacentral:rRNA from 1 species
UACGGGGGGAGCAAGCGUUGUUCGGAUUUACUGGGCGUAAAGGGCGCGUAGGCGGCGCCGCAAGUCACUUGUGAAAUCUCCGGGCUUAACCCGGAAAGGUCAGCCGAUACUGCGGGGCUAGAGUGCAGAAGGGGCAACUGGAAUUCUCGGUGUAGCGGUGAAAUGCGUAGAUAUCGAGAGGAACACCUGCGGCGAAGGCGGGUUGCUGGGCUGACACUGACGCUGAGGCGCGAAAGCUAGGGGAGCGAACGGG